GGAUGUGAGGGCGAUCUGGCUGCGACAUCUGUCACCCCAUUGAUCGCCAGGGUUGAUUCGGCUGAUCUGGCUGGCUAGGCGGGUGUCCCCUUCCUCCCUCACCGCUCCAUGUGCGUCCCUCCCGAAGCUGCGCGCUUGGUCGAAGAGGACGGCCUUCCCCGAAUAGAGACGGACCGGUCUUCGGUCGAGGGUAUACGAGUAGCUGCACUCCCCUGCUAGAACCUCCAAACAAGCUCUCAAGAAUACUAGUGGAAAAGUUUAGUGAAACUCAAAACAAGAACUAUAGUUAAUAGUAUUCUAGUUUU
ensembl:misc_RNA 7SK 7SK RNA